UCCGAGUUGACCCCGGCAGUCUCCUAUGAGUCCCCGCCAUCACGCGCUGGCAACAUAGAACGAGGGUUGCGCUCGUUGCGGGACUUAACCCAACAUCUCACGACACGAGCUGACGACAGCCAUGCACCACCUGUGAUCGAGUCCCGAAGGAGGACCGUAUUUCUACGGCUUUCUCGACCAUGUCAAGCCUUGGUAAGGUUCUUCGCGUUGCGUCGAAUUAAACCACAUGCUCCGCUGCUUGUGCGGGCCCCCGUCAAUUUCUUUGAGUUUUAAUCUUGCGACCGUACUCCCCAGGCGGCGCGCUUAUCGCGUUAGCUUCGCCACAAGAGGGGUCGAUUCCUCUUACAGCAAGCGCGCACCGUUUAGGGCUAGGACUAC
rnacentral:misc_RNA from 1 species